AGUGAACGCUGGCGGUAGGCCUAACACAUGCAAGUCGAACGGCAGCACAGGAGAGCUUGCUCUCUGGGUGGCGAGUGGCGGACGGGUGAGGAAUACAUCGGAAUCUACUUUUUCGUGGGGGAUAACGUAGGGAAACUUACGCUAAUACCGCAUACGACCUACGGGUGAAAGCAGGGGACCUUCGGGCCUUGCGCGAUUGAAUGAGCCGAUGUCGGAUUAGCUAGUUGGCGGGGUAAAGGCCCACCAAGGCGACGAUCCGUAGCUGGUCUGAGAGGAUGAUCAGCCACACUGGAACUGAGACACGGUCCAGACUCCUACGGGAGGCAGCAGUGGGGAAUAUUGGACAAUGGGCGCAAGCCUGAUCCAGCCAUACCGCGUGGGUGAAGAAGGCCUUCGGGUUGUAAAGCCCUUUUGUUGGGAAAGAAAUCCAGCCGGCUAAUACCUGGUUGGGAUGACGGUACCCAAAGAAUAAGCACCGGCUAACUUCGUGCCAGCAGCCGCCGUAACAC
rnacentral:rRNA from 1 species